UCAAGCGAAUAAGCGCACACGGUGGAUGCCUUGGCGGUCAGAGGCGAUGAAGGACGUGGCAGCCUGCGAAAAGUAUCGGGGAGCUGGCAACAAGCUUUGAUCCGGUAAUGUCCGAAUGGGGAAACCCACCCGCUUGCGGGUAUCCUGCAGUGAAUACAUAGCUGCUGGAAGCGAACCUGGUGAACUGAAAUAUCUAAGUAACCAGAGGAAAAGAAAUCAACCGAGAUUCCGUAAGUAGCGACGAGCGAACGCGGACUAGCCCUUAAGCUGGAUUGGUUCUAGGAAAACGCUCUGGAAAGAGCGGCCAUAGAAGGUGAUAGCCCUGUAUCUGAAAGGGCCAUUCCAGUGAAGACGAGUAGGGCGGGGCACGUGAAACCCUGUCUGAACAUGGGGGGACCAUCCUCCAAGGCUAAAUACUACUGACCGACCGAUAGUGAACCAGUACCGUGAGGGAAAGGCGAAAAGAACCCCGGAGAGGGGAGUGAAAUAGAACCUGAAACCGUGUGCGUACAAGCAGUAGGAGCUCCGCAAGGAGUGACUGCGUACCUUUUGUAUAAUGGGUCAGCGACUUACUGUUCGUGGCAAGCUUAACCGUAUAGGGGAGGCGAAGGGAAACCGAGUCUGAUAAGGGCGCAUAGUCGCGGGCAGUAGACCCGAAACCGGGUGAUCUAGUCAUGCCCAGGGUGAAGGUGCGGUAACACGCACUGGAGGCCCGAACCCACUCCCGUUGCAAAGGUAGGGGAUGAGGUGUGAUUAGGAGUGAAAAGCUAAUCGAACCCGGAGAUAGCUGGUUCUCCUCGAAAGCUAUUUAGGUAGCGCCUCAUAUGUAUCCUCUCGGGGGUAGAGCACUGUUAUGGCUAGGGGGUCAUCGCGACUUACCAAACCAUUGCAAACUCCGAAUACCGAGACGGACUGUAUGGGAGACACACGGCGGGUGCUAACGUCCGUCGUGAAAAGGGAAACAACCCAGACCCACAGCUAAGGUCCCAAAUUCACUGCUAAGUGGAAAACCAUGUGGAAAGGCACAGACAGCCAGGAGGUUGGCUUAGAAGCAGCCACCCUUUAAAGAAAGCGUAAUAGCUCACUGGUCGAGUCGGUCUGCGGGGAAGAUUUAACGGGGCUAAGCAGUGAACCGAAGCUUGGGGUGCAUAACUUUGUUAUGCGCGGUAGAGGAGCGUUCCGUAAGCCGUUGAAGGUGGAUUGAGAAGUCUGCUGGAGGUAUCGGAAGUGCGAAUGCUGACAUGAGUAACGAUAAUGCGGGUGAAAAACCCGCACGCCGAAAGCCCAAGGUUUCCUUGCGCAACGUUAAUCGGCGCAGGGUGAGUCGGCCCCUAAGGCGAGGACGAAAGUCGUAGUCGAUGGGAAGCAGGUUAAUAUUCCUGCACCUCGCGUAAGUGCGAUGGAGGGACGGAGAAGGUUAGGUGUACCAGGCGUUGGUUGUCCUGGGGAAAGGCGGUAGGUUUGGAUCUUUGGCAAAUCCGGGAUCCUUUAAGACCGAGCACCGAGACGAGCCUUUAUGGCGAAGUCACUGAUACCACGCUUCCAGGAAAAGCUCCUAAGCUUCAGCUUACGCAGACCGUACCGUAAACCGACACAGGUGGGUAGGAUGAGAAUUCUCAGGCGCUUGAGAGAACUCGGGUGAAGGAACUAGGCAACAUGGCACCGUAACUUCGGGAGAAGGUGCACCCUUUUUGGUGGCUCGUGCGAGCUAUAGCUGAAGAGGGUCGCAGUAACCAGGCCGCUGCGACUGUUUAUCAAAAACACAGCACUCUGCAAACACGAAAGUGGACGUAUAGGGUGUGACGCCUGCCCGGUGCUGGAAGGUUAAUUGAUGGGGUCAGCCGCAAGGCGAAGCUCUUGAUCGAAGCCCCAGUAAACGGCGGCCGUAACUAUAACGGUCCUAAGGUAGCGAAAUUCCUUGUCGGGUAAGUUCCGACCUGCACGAAUGGCGUAACGACAGCGGCGCUGUCUCCACCCGAGACUCAGUGAAAUUGAAAUCGCUGUGAAGAUGCAGCGUUCCCGUGGCAAGACGGAAAGACCCCGUGAACCUUUACUAUAGCUUUACACUGAACGUUGAGUUCGUCUGUGUAGGAUAGGUGGGAGGCUAUGAAACUGUGGCGCUAGCUGCAGUGGAGCCAUCCUUGAAAUACCACCCUGUCGUGCUUGACGUUCUAACCUGGGCCCAUUAUCUGGGUCGGGGACCGUGUAUGGUGGGUAGUUUGACUGGGGCGGUCUCCUCCUAAAGAGUAACGGAGGAGCUCGAAGGUACGCUCAGCGCGGUCGGACAUCGCGCACUGUGUGCAAAGGCAUAAGCGUGCUUGACUGCAAGAUCGACGGAUCAAGCAGGUAGGAAACUAGGACUUAGUGAUCCGGUGGUUCUGUAUGGAAGGGCCAUCGCUCAACGGAUAAAAGGUACUCCGGGGAUAACAGGCUGAUACCGCCCAAGAGUUCAUAUCGACGGCGGUGUUUGGCACCUCGAUGUCGGCUCAUCACAUCCUGGGGCUGUAGUCGGUCCCAAGGGUAUGGCUGUUCGCCAUUUAAAGUGGUACGCGAGCUGGGUUCAGAACGUCGUGAGACAGUUCGGUCCCUAUCUGCCAUGGGCGUUGGAGAUUUGAGAGGGGCUGCUCCUAGUACGAGAGGACCGGAGUGGACGAACCUCUGGUGUUCCGGUUGUCACGCCAGUGGCAUUGCCGGGUAGCUAUGUUCGGAAGCGAUAACCGCUGAAAGCAUCUAAGCGGGAAGCGCGCCUCAAGAUGAGAUCUCCCGGGGCACAAGCCCCCUGAAGGAACCAUGUAGACUACGUGGUUGAUAGGUCAGGUGUGUAAGUACAGCAAUGUAUUGAGCUAACUGAUACUAAUGAUCCGUGCGGCUUGACCAU
rnacentral:rRNA from 1 species